rnacentral:rRNA from 1 species
AGAACGAACGCUGGCGGCAUGCCUAACACAUGCAAGUCGAACGCUCUUGGUUUCGGCCAAGGGAGUGGCGCACGGGUGAGUAACGCGUGGGAACCUGCCCUGGAGUGGGGGAUAACCGAGGGAAACCUCGGCUAAUACCGCAUACGACCUGAGGGUGAAAGAUUUAUCGCUCUAGGAGGGGCCCGCGUCGGAUUAGCUAGUUGGUGAGGUAACGGCCCACCAAGGCUAUGAUCCGUAGCUGGUCUGAGAGGAUGAUCAGCCACACUGGGACUGAGACACGGCCCAGACUCCUACGGGAGGCAGCAGUGGGAAUAUUGGACAAUGGGCGCAAGCCUGAUCCAGCAAUGCCGCGUGAGUGAUGAAGGCCUUAGGGUUGUAAAGCUCUUUCACACGCGACGAUGAUGACGGUAGCGUGAGAAGAAGCCCCGGCUAACGUUCGUGCCAGCCAGCCGC